UACAAACUGAUGGCUCAUUUGAUCAAAGGAGAAGAUAGUACCCGACUUCAGUGUCGAGUACCAAUUUCUUGCCGCUCCCUUCAAGGUGGAUGGAAAAGCUCGACAUAGGAUGGCAUCUGGCACGCCAUGGAGUAGCAUCAUUGUCCGAAAGGCCUUCAGGUGGUCAACCAAAUCUGAGGUCCCAUCGUAGCUCUCGAAUUGAGGGAGCUUGAAGUUUGAC
rnacentral:lncRNA from 1 species